rnacentral:rRNA from 1 species
GACGAACGCUGGCGGCGUGCUUAACACAUGCAAGUCGAACGAAGAGCGCUGGAAGCUUGCUUCUAUCAAUCUUAGUGGCGAACGGGUGAGUAACGCGUAAUCAACCUGCCCUUCAGAGGGGGACAACAGUUGGAAAGGACUGUUACUACCGCAAACGCCUUAAUCCUGGCAUGGAGGAGAGAUGAAAGGUGGCCUCGCCAUGUAACCAAUCACUGAAGGAGGGGUUUGGGUCGGGUUCGUACGCUGGGGGGGAAAGGGCCCACCAAGGUGGGGAUCAGUAGCCGGUCUGAUAGGAGGAACGGCCACCUUGGGACUGUGACACGGCACAGACUCCUACGGGAAGGAGCAGUGGGGAAUCUUCCGCAAUGGACGAAAGACUGACGGAGCAACGCCGCGUGAGUGAUGACGGCCUUCGGGUUGUAAAGCUCUGUUAAUCGGGACGAAAGGCCUUCUUGCGAAUAGUGAGAAGGAUUGACGGUACCGGAAGAGAAAGCCACGGCUAACUACGUG